AUUCCUUCUCUGUCUCUCCUUUUACCCCUUUCCCCUCCGCCUGGUGGGAUAAGAAAGAGGGUUUUCUCUCUCUCAUCUUCCUUACUUCUCCUUCUCCUUCUCCUGAUGCUAAGGAUUACACCCUUUUCCUGUUUCUUCAUCUUCCUUCUUCUUCUUCUCCUCCUCUGACCCAGAAGGGGAAGAAGAAACUAACCUCUUUGCAGAAAACCCAACUCUUUUAGAGACCUCUCUUCCAUGGAAUCUGCUUCCUUUGAUCCAACCCCACAAGGGUUCAAGGAUAAAGAGUCAAUGGUUGACCCCUUCUUGGUUGAGGCUCUUCAGAAUCCUCGACAUCGUCUCACCAUUUUACGAAUGGAACUUGACAUCCAGAAGUUUUUGCAUAAUCCUGAUCAGCAGCUUUUUGAGUUCCAGCAUUUUCCUACUUCAUACCUUCGACUUGCAGCUCAUCGUGUUGCUCAACAUUAUGGCCUUCAAACCAUGGUUCAGGACUCUGGCAUAGAUGGUUUUGGAAAUAGGAUCUUGGUUCGAAAAACGGUGGAAAACAGACUCCCUUCUGUGCAUUUAUCUGAAAUACCUGCGAAGCAAUUGGACAAUGAGAAGCAUGAGCAGGUCAAAAUUGUCAUUAGACCUAGGCCUAACAAAAUGUCUGGAAUUUCUGCCAAUGAAGGAGGUCACAAACAAAGUUCUGUCAGAAGUGUGGAAGAGAGAAAGGAGGAAUAUGAUAAGGCACGAGCUCGAAUCUUCAGCUCCCCAAGUAGUCCUGAGAUAGAUAAUACAACGUCUCAAACACCAUCUGAAGGAAAGUAUGCAUGCUCAAACAGGGAUGAGACUGAAGGCUGUAGAACUUUGGGUGGUGAUUUGGAAAAAUUUAAUGGCAGGGAUGGCAUGACUUCUCGAGUUGCCAUUUUCAAAGAUAGGGAAAAGGAUCGUAGUGACCCUGAUUAUGAUCGCAAUUACGAUAGGUAUAUUAGGAACCUUCCAACCAAUCAAAACUUAAGCUUGGCUCCAUUUAUUAUGCAAAAAAUUCAGCCUCCAUUUGUACAAUAUGAUUCGGGUUAUUCUCUCAUGGGUCAUAUGCCAGGAACUCAAGCUUCAGUUAACUAUGGGCCUCAUCCGAGUCCUGUUGUAAGCCCUUUCUGCGCAAUGGGUUUAAACCAGGCAUCUAGGGAUGCUUCUUAUGAGCAGUGGCAGAGUGCUGCAAUGAUGUAUGCCCAUUCCUACAACCAGCUCAGGCAUUCUGCAUUUCAGGAACUCCUCCUAUCUAUUUACCGAUCAUUGCUAGAUUUCUUUUCUCAAAUUUCCAAGGAUUUAAGCUCCCCUUAUUGGAGGAAGAGAAGUUUUAGACUUCUUGACUAAAUGCCCGUCAAUUCCCCACCUCACCAUCUGGCUCGAUCAUCUAUCAUAAUUGGCUAGGCACAAAGGCUGCAAAGAUAUGAUUGAGGACUUGCUUCUUCACCCUCGGAAGGAAGGUUUCUGUGGCACGCUAGGGCCCCAUUCUGUCAGCAACCCCUCAGCUUUGACUAUUCUCAAAACCAUUAGAUACGAUGAGGAGUUUAGGUGAAAAAAAAAAGUUUACAAUUAGAUUUUGUAUUUGUAGGGGUUGCAUUUUACUCUUGCUUUUGACUGCUUGGAACUCAGUUCUAGUUUGGGACUCUUUUGUUCUUCAUUUGGACCUUUAUCAUAAGAAUUUGUAAGGAUUGAGGACUUUCUCAUGUCUUUUGGACAAAUUUAAAAUGCUCCAAUAUGCCAUUAGUUGAAUUUCUUCUUUUUAUUAUA